rnacentral:misc_RNA from 1 species
CAACCCUCAAGCACCGCUUGGUUUUGGGGCCCUACGGCUGACGUAGGCCCUUAAAGGUAGUGGCGGACCCUCCCGGAGCCUCCUUUGCGUAGUAACACAUCGUCUCGCACUGGGAUUCGGAGGGACUCUUGCCGUAAAACCCCCCAAUUUUCCAAA